GACGAACGCUGGCGGCGUGCUUAACACAUGCAAGUCGAACGGAAAGGCCCUGCUUUUGUGGGGUGCUCGAGUGGCGAACGGGUGAGUAACACGUGAGUAACCUGCCCUUGACUUUGGGAUAACUUCAGGAAACUGGGGCUAAUACCGGAUAGGAGCUCCUGCUGCAUGGUGGGGGUUGGAUAGUUUCGGCGGUUGGGGAUGGACUCGCGGCUUAUCAGCUUGUUGGUGGGGUAGUGGCUUACCAAGGCUUUGACGGGUAGCCGGCCUGCGCGGGUGACCGGCCACAUUGGGACUGAGAUACGGCCCAGACGCCUACGGGAGGCAGCAGUGGGGAAGAUUGCAAAAUGGGCGGAAGCCUGAUGCAGCAACGCCGCGUGCGGGAUGACGGCCUUCGGGUUGUAAACCGCUUUCGCCUGUGACGAAGCGUGAGUGACGGUAAUGGGUAAAGAAGCACCGGCUAACUACGUG
rnacentral:rRNA from 1 species